AUAUUUCUCAGUUGACACAAUAGUUCAGCGGACCUUGUAUUUCCAUGAAAUAGUGUCUCUACUUACAUGGAAUAACCUGAAAAUAGUUUCAACAGUAAAGUUUAGGUCAGAAGUUUUAUGGACAUCAGCAUGGUCUUGUUGACCUUCAUGGGACACGAUCUCUAGGAUGAAAAAUUUUGUCCUGCAUUUUUUUUUUAGCUGUAAUCUCUGUCCAGCCUUUUUAUUUUUCACUCUAAUCGGUCCUGCCUCUUUUUUUUUUAGUUUAUCCUGACUUUUUUUUACCUAAAUUGUCGUCCUGACUUUUUUUUUGCAAGUGUCACAUCCUGCCUUUUUUUUACUCAAAACUCCUGUCCUGCCUAUUUUUUUCAAAUUUCAUACUAGCCCCCCCCCCCCAUAAAAAUCAAAUGGUA
rnacentral:lncRNA from 1 species